rnacentral:tRNA from 1 species
AAGCUGCGUGGCGCAGCGGAAGCGCGCCGGGCUCAUAACCCGGAGGACACUGGAUCGAAACCAGUCGCAGCUAG